rnacentral:lncRNA from 1 species
GCUUGAGCGGAGGGAAAUAUGCAACCUUGUGACCCUGACUCAGAAUAGCCAAACUCCAUCUGCUCUGAAACUUUAAAUGGUAAGAACGCCUCCAUUUCUCACUGGACAUAUUUGGAGGACUUUAUCCAAGUAAAGCUCAAAAACUGCAGCUACAGAAACUCAUAAAACCAGAGAAGAAGAAUGAACAGUAAGAAGAAAGCCUAGGAUAGAUCAGUACCUUUGCCAAAGUGAAAUGACAAUGGUCUGCUGCUUAUACAAUUUACAUCACUCAAAACCUCAAAACCUUAACUGAAAGCCUAAAAUUUUCUGUGUAAGUAAACCUGAAAAAGAUCAACAAUAUAUGUAAGUGAAUCAGUGCUUUG